AAACCUUUGAAUUGUGUUUUUUGUUAUGAAGAUGAAUCUGUUCAUCACCUUCUCUUUGAUUGUGUGGUUGCCAGGUUUGUUUGGGCAAUCAUUAGAGAACACUUUAAGGUAGAUGUGGGGACUGAUUAUCUAUCAGUUGCCAGAUUCUGGCUUUCUAACAAAAAGAGAUCCCCUUUAAAUGUAGCCUGUGCAGUAACCAUGUGGAGCAUAUGGAAACUUAGAAACUCCAUCAUUUUUGACAAUGCCAUAUGGAUCUCUGUUAAACAGGUUUUGGGGAGAAUGCUAAGUCUGUCCAGAAUCUGGGCAGUCCUGAUCCUAGAACAGGAGAAGGAGAACUGGGAAGACUUCCUGAGGUACCUAAAAGAUCGAGUGAAGGCGCCAUUAACAGUCACGAGUGGCUGA
rnacentral:rRNA from 1 species